rnacentral:piRNA from 1 species
CCUCUUCAGGCCUGCAGACAUAC